GCUUGCCGCGUGAAGGAUGAGGGCCCUAUGGGUCGUAACUUCUUUUAUUAGGGAAGAAAAAACGGAUGCGUCCUGUACUGACGGUACUUAAUGAAUAAGGAUCGGCUAACUUCGUGCCAGCAGCCGCGGUAAGACGAAGGAUCCAAGCGUUGUCCGGAUUUACUGGGUUUAAAGGGUGCGUAGGCGGAAAAUUAAGUCAGUGGUGAAAGCCCGCAGCUCAACUGUGGAACUGCCAUUGAAACUGGUUUUCUUGAAUGUAGCUGAGGCAGAUGGAAUAUAACAUGUAGCGGUGAAAUGCUUAGAUAUGUUAUAGAACACCGAUUGCGAAGGCAGUCUGCUAAACUAUUAUUGACGCUGAGGCACGAAAGCGUGGGGAGCGAACAGGAUUAGAUACCCUGGUAGUCCACGCCCUAAACGUUGAUUACUCGCUGUUGGCGAUAUACUGUCAGUGGCUAAGCGAAAGCGUUAAGUAAUCCACCUGGGAAGUACGACCGCAAGGUUGAAACUCAAAGGAAUUGACGGGGGCCCGCACAAGCGGAGGAGCAUGUGGUUUAAUUCGAUGAU
rnacentral:rRNA from 1 species